GAACCCAAUUUUAUAAAAUUCAAAUCCCAUUUAAUUAAGAAGUCAAGUGGGCAAGUGGGUAGAAAAGCACUCAAGUGUUUUGUGAUAUUUUGAAGAGUUGUGUGAGCCAUUCUAACCCCCAAAUCCGACCACUCUCCCUCCCUCAUUCACUCUCAUCUGAUUUUUGAAGACUCUCUCAAGUGUUCUCUCCAUUUUGAACCCCAAGAACACCAAAGAAACUUGGAAGCUAAGUCUUGGUCUAGGAAGGGUUUUCCCUAAGUUGGUUAGGGUUUUUGAAAGGUUUUGAAGGAGUCAAAGCUUAUAGGAAGGUCCAAACCUUAAGCAAGAACACCAAAGAGGUAAGAGCAAGGGCAAGGCAGAGCAGUGAGCGCUGGAGUCUUCCUUGCAAAUGUACAUGUGGACCGACCUUUUGGGAAGCCUUUUUAUUUUUGGAAAUGUUGUGUAAUUUUCCUAAACUAGGCUCACUCUAAUCUUUAUAAAACAUGUUUGUAACUAAAUGUUAAGUAUGGCCAUACGACUUUUUAAAAAGUUUUUUUUUUCUAUGGGUUUUUGAGACAUUUUGUUAAAUGAAAACAUUUAUAUUUCCGCAUUA